GUCAUGCGCAGUGCGCUCACAACCCAUCACCACGGCAACCAUCUUUCGCAGCCAAGUCCCCGGCAGCAUCAGUGGCGUGCGAUCACCUCCGCUUUGGCCACAGAGCAGAGACAUCCGCAUGCAGACAUGGUCAAGCUGGGCACCAAUCUGGCUGAUAAAAUGGAGAAGCAGCCGUCUGCAGACGACGGCUUUGAUAUCAUCCCCCUCAUCACGCCCCUCGAGGUCAGCCAGCUCCAGCAGUCUUUUGCAGACAAGGUUAUUGUGAAGACGACGACUCAUUACCAACUGCAGCAGCAGAAGAAGAAAAAAGACAAGUUGUUCAUCCCCAGCAUUGAGAAGCUAAACAUCAACUUUUACAAAGAUGUCUCCGACAGAGCCAAGAUCACAGGCCUGAUCCUCAUCAUGUUGGCCUUCCUAACCAGCCUCCUCCUCCUGCUCAUGUACAAAGCCAUGUGGUAUGACCGUCUUACCUGCCCCCAGGGUUUCAUCCUUCAGCAAAGGCACUGCACUCCGGCCGCUCUGGGCAUGUUCUCCAGCGAGCAGCAGAAUCCCGCAGGCAUCCAAGACAGCACCAACUCUGGACUGUAUGCCGCCCUCAGCCGCCUCAACCAAGUCAAGAGGGCAGGGCCCGAGAUGCCGUCGCCAUGGUUGCCAGUCAUCAGAGCACUGAAAAAGACCGAUGCCGUCAAACAUGACAGCCAGACAGUCCAAGGUGAACUGGAAGGAGAGGAAUGAAUGUUUGUGUGCUUGGUUUUUUGUUUUUGUGGGGGGGGGUUCCCCCUCACCGGGCAGUCAAACAUGCUUCGAUGCAUCCCAUAAUCAAAUUGUGUGUGUGUGUGUGUGUGUGCGCGAGUGUUCGAGGCUGUGGUCAGAGGCAAGAAUGUUAUGACAAUGUUGGAAAAUGUCACUUGCAGUUUCACCGAGUGCGACUUAACUCCCGUGUACACCACAUGAAUUCACUACGUAUCUGAAUUUGUGGCGUAUGUUGUCACAGGGGAAUAUCGAAGGUAACACAUUUUAUUCACUUUUGCCUCAUCAUUUGCUGUCACAAUGGGAAUUUUUAGAAAAUAUGCUAUCAUUAUGAAACUUACCCUGAAUAAGAAAUGUGUGCGCAUCAAAACUGACUGUUCUGACCCAUGCAAGAAGAAUUGUCAUUUUAACCAUCGUACAUAAGUAAAUAACCUAAAAGAAUGUCUUAUGAUUUUUGAAUAUGAAUGUAUUUGAUGUAGCUACUUUUGUCUGCACAAGCCGAACAUGUUUUCUAUUGUACCAAUUUUAUCUUCUGUUAUUUACAAUUACAAGUAAUUGUACAUUCGUUUGGAAUGUUGACGCCAAUUUAAAAAAUUAUUAUUUAAAAAUCAUUACAAUUUAAAAAUCUGGCGUUGUAAUGUGUUAUUAUCGUCACCCUUUUCGAAAUUUAUUUCAAAUGCUGAUGAAAUUACGUUUUGGAACAUGCCUGUUUGUGCGUGAGCGUGCGUGUAGGAGUGUGAGAUCACAGCACAGCUUGUCCUUACAUCACAACAAUCUGCCCGGAUCUCAUUGCAUGGACAUAAAUAAAAAAAAAAUUGGUUGUACGACCUCUGCAAUUAAGUCAUUUCUGCAACUCUUAAUUAGACGGGAUAAAGAAAAGGUAGUUUCAAUUUAAUUCGAGAACCAUUCUGUUUUUUUCUUUUUAAUGAAAGAAGGCCAACAAUUAUGUCUAGUUUUAGAACUGCUAACCUACAGAAUUCAAGCACAAAGACGUUUCAAGAUGUCUACCUUGAAUCAUUUCAGAGGAACACAGAUAAAGAAGAGACUUUUGAAUGAAAGAAAUCAACAUUUUUUAAGUUUGGCGUACUUUCGUUUUUGCCCAGGGGAGUUUCAUUACCUUUGUUGCUGUUGGUUUGUUUGAAAGGUUUUGCUUAUCCCUGAUUUUUAGUGAUUGAUUGUCAAAAUAUUUCUAUUCACUUGUACUUAUUCAAGUUUCAAGCUGUUUUCGUUGCUACGCUUGGGGUUUUUUUCUUUAACAAUAUAGAAACAACAAUUUUAUCCAUGUGUAACAGUAAAUAUUCAUCUGCAUCUCAUUUGCUCUCACAAAUUUUCCCACAAGUGCUCGGAAUCAGUAAUUCAGGGUUCUGAGUGUGUGUGGCCGUUUUAAACAAAUGUUAAACAUCACCGCGCGCGUCACGUGACUCAUCCCCGUGUGCAUUUGUUUACGCGGUCAUGCUGGCAGCAUUGUAGCAGUGGCUCCUAUGAGGAAAGGACACUAUCACCUCCACAUAAUCAAAAAUACAGUGGUGAUCAUUUUUGUAUUUUUACAAGGAGAAGCGGACAAGGGUAGGGUUGUGGAUAGUUUUCAGCCAUGUAGCAAUGCUAAAGCUUUGCUACAACUCCAUGAGCAGACAGGCAUGGCUGUUACCGCCCAACAGCUCCUGUGGCUUGUCGAGGCAGAGUUGGCUGUUGACGGCACAACAGAUAAGUGGGUUUCCUCUCCGCUGGCGCCAGCUGGAAAUGCCUCCACGAAGCUGAGGCAGUACACACAUCAUCCUCCAUUCAGCUCUACUGGGGCCUCUUUGAUGGGAGUAACAUUAGACAAGCUGAGAGCACACACAACAGAAACAGAUCCUAUCAAGCUGCUGUUUGAAGGGCGGGAGCCACUGAUCAUAACUUACCGAAGGUUCAGCCGGACUGGCUUUUGUUGCCUAC